rnacentral:tRNA from 1 species
AUCGAGUGGAUCGACUUGGUCCUCUCAAGGCUGAAACAGGGGUUCGAUUCCCCUAGGGAGCGCCA